rnacentral:rRNA from 1 species
GUGGGGAAUAUUGGACAAUGGGCGAAAGCCUGAUCCAGCCAUGCCGCGUGUGUGAAGAAGGUCUUCGGAUUGUAAAGCACUUUAAGUUGGGAGGAAGGGCAGUAAGUUAAUACCUUGCUGUUUUGACGUUACCGACAGAAUAAGCACCGGCUAACUCUGUGCCAGCAGCCGCGGUAAUACGAAGGGUGCAAGCGUUAAUCGGAAUUACUGGGCGUAAAGCGCGCGUAGGUGGUUUUGUAAGUUGGAGGUGAAAUCCCCGGGCUCAACCUGGGAACUGCCUCCAAAACUGCAUGACUAGAGUACGGUAGAGGGUAGUGGAAUUUCCUGUGUAGCGGUGAAAUGCGUAGAUAUAGGAAGGAACACCAGUGGCGAAGGCGACUACCUGGACUGAUACUGACACUGAGGUGCGAAAGCGUGGGGAGCAAACAGGAUUAGAUACCCGUGUAGUCC